rnacentral:lncRNA from 1 species
AGCAGUCAGGGGUGACUGACACCAUAAAUGUCACUGUUUUACCUUCACUGUUUUAAGAGUUACGGCGUUACCCUUCCUGGCUACAAAAAUAAUAGCGUACCUUGGUUUCAGUUCUCUUGGGACAUUCCAAGAAGCCGCACCGUCCCAAGCUCUAAGAACCACUUAUAUACGAAGUGGACCACAGUUGCAGCUGUUCAAAAAUAUGAGAUCGAGACCAAAUUAAAAUGAAGUAAUUCCUAGAGUCCUGGAAUUAGGAAAUUGGUUAUCCCUUUUCCAGAUUUUAGAGAUUUAUCAUAGUUAUUUAUGAAUCCCAAAGACCUUUGAGUCUAUUCCUGUUACAUGCUUGCCUUUAGACUGCAGGCUGAUAAUACACCAUACUGUGGGUUCUUAGUGAGCUGUUCAUUUCAGUUCUCCUUAUGACUUCUGUCUGCUUUUGGAA